GGUUCAAACCUAUUUCUCACACACACACACACACACACACACACACAGACGUUAUACUACACAGGGCCCUCACAGCCGCUGCUCACAUUGGAUCAACACACCGCCGCUCUACCAUUUCCGAUAGCCCUCACCGCCGACAGCCCUCACCACCGCCGCCGUUAGCCCCUCCUUUCCUCACCGUCGCUGCUGUGCAGAUCGAAGAACACCGUUGAAAUUGGGGUUAUGAUUAUGGGUGCUUCGAUGGAUUUGACGGAAAGACUUGUGUUUCAAGCCUCAAACUGUUUGUUAAUCACUUGUGUUUCCCUUUUGUUUGAUAUAUGGUCAUUGAAAAUUAAAGACUCUCUUGCUCUAGUACACAAACAGUUUGAGGCCGUCAUGCUUGGAUACAACUGCCAUAUGCACCCGUGAACCCACAUCCUAAUUCCUCAUUUUUGCUUGGCAGGUGUCUUAAUGAUAAUCAGUUAACUGGGAAAAUCCCAAAGGAGCUCACUGGUAUUUCCAGCUUGAAAGUUGUAGAUGUCUCAAACAACAACUUGUGUGGAACAAUUCCUACUACAGGUCCAUUUGAGCACAUCCCAUUAAACAAGUAAGGUUUCCUUGAUUCAUAUAGUUCUGCAAUUUAUUUUUUCUUGAAGUUCGUUGAACUCUCUCCAACAGGGAGGGAAAAAAAGAAGGAAGAACUUUAACUCAAACUCAAACAAAAAUAGGUGAUUGCAAUGUUUACCAUGUAAGUCUACUAUAUUGGCUCUUUCCAGAGAAUCUAGGAGAUAAACCUCAUGGGAACAUUUUCUAUGUUAUUCAAGCCUCAUUACCUAUCCAAAAAAACAAAGGAAGAAGAAAGCUUUUCUAGAUGAAAGUGAAUUGUUAAGUUAUAUAGUGUGCCUUGUAGUGAUAGAAAGUGUCAUCUAUGGCACAUAGCUUCCUUGUUUUGCAGCCAAGUGAGCAUAAUACAUAUGCAGAUAUUGAAGCUGUGUAUAAGUGUCAUGUAUCCUGUGAAGCGUAGAUCAUCUGUUUAUCUAUACUAUUAUUUUGAUUGAAAGAUUAUGCAUUUUUUUUUUGGGUCUAAUUAAAUGGUGUUUGUGUUGACUGUGUGCAGAACAUUGACAAAAUCCCAUAUGUUAAUUGUCCUGUGCUGAUUAUUCAUGUAAGUAUGCAAUUUUCAACAUUUUACCUUUUAGAAUUACUUAUGGUAAUUGAAGAACCAUUCUAAUACAGUUUUUAGACAAUUAAGCCAUUGUAUAAGCUAGCAUGAAACUCUUACCUUCUUUAUCUGCCUUGCUUCUUUGUUUCUAUGUUUUUGUGGGUACAUGUAUAUGAUCAUAACCACGGACUUGGAUGACUAAGAUCUUAUGACUUGAUGGCUAUAGUUGAGAGUUUUCCAUGGUAUUUGUCACAUCCUCUCUAAGAUACUUAACUGGUUUUAGAGAGAGAUCCUCAGAAGAAGACAAAUCCAAACUAUAACCAAGACACAUGAUGUCCAAAUUAGUUCUUAGUAUUGUGACUCUUAUUUAAUUGCUGGUUUCUGAACUUCGGCUUAGGUUAGGACACUUUUAAACUUCACUAUUUCAUCAUAAAAUGUUUGCACAUUAUAAAUAGAACCUUGAUUGUACUGUUAUCUAUUAUCAGUUUCCAUACUUGCUUUCACACUAGUAAAUAUUUUCUAGUUGUACUGGAUGUGGCAUUGAUAGUAAAUAUUAGUGAUUUAAUCUUAACCAACUUUUUGAUUAUUUUUCAUCAAAAAUUCUUACCAGCGUUAUCAAUUGGACUAAAAUUGACAC